rnacentral:rRNA from 1 species
CGCAGCCGCGGUAAUUCCAGCUCCAAUAGCGUAUAUUAAAGUUGUUGCAGUUAAAAAGCUCGUAGUUGAAUUUCGAGACCGGUUUACUGGUCGUGCUUUUGUACGUACUGGUAUUAUUGGUUUCUCCUUUCUGACGAACUAUAAUGCCAUUAAUUUGGUGUUAUAGGGAAUCAGGACUGUUACUUUGAAAAAUUAGAGUGUUUAAAGCAGGCUCACGCUUGAAUACAUUAGCAUGGAAUAACGGAAUAGGACGUUUGAUUCUAUUUUGUUGGUUUCUAGGAUCGACGUAAUGAUUAAUAGGGAUAGUUGGGGGCAUUAGUAUUCAAUUGUCAGAGGUGAAAUUCUUGGAUUUAUUGAAGACUAACUACUGCGAAAGCAUUUGCCAAGGAUGUUUUCAUUAAUCAAGAACGAAAGUUAGGGGAUCGAAGACGAUCAGAUACCGUCGUAGUC